CAGGCCUAACACAUGCAAGUCGAACGGUUUGUAGCAAUACAGAUAGUGGCGCACGGGUGCGUAACACGUAACUAACCUGCCUAAGACUGGGGGAUAGCCCGCCGAAAGGCGGAUUAAUACCGCAUAAUAUCCUUUACUGGCAUCAGUAGUUGAUUAAACCUGAGGGGGUCUUAGAUGGGGUUGCGGGUCAUUAGCUAGUUGGUCAGGUAACGGCUUACCAAGGCGACGAUGACUAGGGGAGCUGAGAGGCUGGUCCCCCACACGGGCACUGAGAUACGGGCCCGACUCCUACGGGAGGCAGCAGUAGGGAAUAUUGGGCAAUGGGCGAGAGCCUGACCCAGCCAUGCCGCGUGCAGGAAGAAGGCUUUCUGAGUCGUAAACUGCUUUUGAUAGGGAAGAAUAACCUGUACGUGUAUCAGGGAUGACGGUACCUACAGAAUAAGCACCGUCUAACUCCGUGCCAGCAGCCGCGGUAAU
rnacentral:rRNA from 1 species